rnacentral:rRNA from 1 species
AGCAGCCGCGGUAAUUCCAGCUCCAAUAGCGUAUAUUUAAGUUGUUGCAGUUAAAAAGCUCGUAGUUGAACUUCGGGGUUUACCCAUUGGUCAGGCUUAAUUGUCUGUACUGGUGAGAUAAAUCUCUACCUUCUGAGGAACUUUCAUGCCAUUUAUUUGGUGUGAUGGGAAAUCAGGACUGUUACUUUGAAAAAUUAGAGUGUUUAAAGCAGGCUAACGUCUGAAUACAUUAGCAUGGAAUAAUGAAAUAGGACGGACUGAUUCUAUUUCGUUGGUUUCUAGGAUCACCGUAAUGAUUAAUAGGGAUAGUUGGGGGCAUUAGUAUUCAAUUGUCAGAGGUGAAAUUCUUGGAUUUAUUGAAGACUAACUACUGCGAAAGCAUUUGCCAAGGAUGUUUUCAUUAAUCAAGAACGAAAGUUAGGGGAUCGAAGACGAUCAGAUACCGUCGUAGUCUUAACCA